rnacentral:lncRNA from 1 species
UGUGUGUGCAAGGCUCCGGUAAAAAUGUCAAAUCUUCCGUGGAUGUUGAGCACACGAUGUGGACCGCGAAAGGGCAGGUGGAGGUGUGCGGGUGGAGGGGAGCCGAGUCACCGCAUGUUUAUUAUGGCGGCUCCUGAUUGGCUGCUGGGCUGGGUUGCCCCGCCCACGGGGAGUGAUGCUGGCGGAGGUCUCGGUUUGGAGCCAGAUCAGAUCUCCAGGACAAAGCGGCCCCUUGCAGAACAGGAAUAUUUUAUCAGACAUCUACAGUUUCCUGGGCACGUCUUUAUGUGCAGACUGCUAACGGAGAGGAGGAAAUUAUUCUCCUUUCACACUUUCUGACCAGAGCUAAUUCACAGAAGUGUACAUCUGUUGUGAAGAAUGUGUGCAACUGGAAAAAAUAGAGUGCUGACUGUCUUUUCUGUGUAGGUGUUUACCAAUCAGCUCUCCAAGACACAUUUGAGCAUCAUGCUUUGCACUUUUUUGCCCUUCUCCAAAUUGCACAGUUAAUAGAUAACAAUCCAACAUCUGCAUACACUCCUGGGGACUCUAGGAGAGUUGAGUGAGGGAAGAGAAUCUACAGGCACAUAUAUUUAAAAGGCGUUUCCUAGGGGAAAGGAGUCUUCAUUUUUUCCUUCUUAUAGGACUCGGCUGCUCCCUAAGCAGAGUCCUUGUGAGUCAGAAAAUGAUGUCAUAGAGAAUUUUCAAGGGACUGAUACAAAAUGAAACAGAAAAAUAGGAAGGGAGAGGACAGAGCAUCCGGUUCUCUUCUUGUAUUGCAAAAUCUGUCUUGAACUUGAGCAUUGCUGGAUGAGGGGCAUGCCAUUCUGCCCAAUUUGUUUUACGGCUCAGCCUCAUAAAAAGUGGUUAUUGCCUUGGAGAAUGCGGGCCUUUUCUCAUUCUUUUCCUUAUUCUUCCGUACUGGACCAUUGUGAGUCCCAAGCCUCUUUGUCCUUCCUCACAUUUUCAAGAAACUGAAUGAAGUUUUUAUAAUUAUGGCUCCAAUGAAAGGGUCUUGAGAAAUUGUAAAUGAAUCCAAAUGUAUACAUCUCUAGUUAGUUAAUUUUAUUCUUAUAAAGAGCAGGAAAGCAGAAUAGGCUUCAUUUUAUUGAAAAGACUAGGAAAUUUGGGGUUUUAGGAAUAUUCCAGUUUAGAAGUUUUUCCUGGCAAAAUAUGAAGACUUAAGCAAAAUGUACAUAGCCUAGCUUUUAGGAGAACUUCCUUCCUUAAAUUGAACUUUUGCCUAAGUGGCCUUAUUUUACUUCUUCAGGCUUAUUUAAAUAGAGAGGAGAAUUACCUGUAUUUAAACAGUGAUGCGAAGGACAGAAGAGCUCGUUACGUG